rnacentral:rRNA from 1 species
GACGAACGCUGGCGGCGUGCUUAACACAUGCAAGUCGAACGGAAAGGCCCUGCUUUUGUGGGGUGCUCGAGUGGCGAACGGGUGAGUAACACGUGAGUAACCUGCCCUUGACUUUGGGAUAACUUCAGGAAACUGGGGCUAAUACCGGAUAGGAGCUCCUGCUGCAUGGUGGGGGUUGGAAAGUUUCGGCGGUUGGGGAUGGACUCGCGGCUUAUCAGCUUGUUGGUGGGGUAGUGGCUUACCAAGGCUUUGACGGGUAGCCGGCCUGAGAGGGUGACCGGCCACAUGGGGACUGAGAUACGGCCCAGACUCCCACGGGAGGCAGCAGUGGGGAAUAUUGCACAAUGGGCGGAAGCCUGAUGCAGCAACGCCGCGUGCGGGAUGACGGCCUUCGGGUUGUAAACCGCUUUCGCCUGUGACGAAGCGUGAGUGACGGUAAUGGGUAAAGAAGCACCGGCUAACUACGU